AUUGAACGCUGGCGGAAUGCUUUACACAUGCAAGUCGAACGGCAGCACGGACUUCGGUCUGGUGGCGAGUGGCGAACGGGUGAGUAAUACAUCGGAACGUGCCCAGUCGUGGGGGAUAACGUAGCGAAAGCUACGCUAAUACCGCAUACGAUCUAAGGAUGAAAGCGGGGGAUCGCAAGACCUCGCGCGAUUGGAGCGGCCGAUGGCAGAUUAGGUAGUUGGUGGGGUAAAGGCUCACCAAGCCGACGAUCUGUAGCUGGUCUGAGAGGACGACCAGCCACACUGGGACUGAGACACGGCCCAGACUCCUACGGGAGGCAGCAGUGGGGAAUUUUGGACAAUGGGCGCAAGCCUGAUCCAGCCAUUCCGCGUGCAGGAUGAAGGCCCUCGGGUUGUAAACUGCUUUUGUACGGAACGAAAAGGCUCUGGUUAAUACCUGGGGCUCAUGACGGUACCGUAAGAAUAAGCACCGGCUAACUACGUG
rnacentral:rRNA from 1 species